rnacentral:lncRNA from 1 species
CAGACUGCCUGUUCUCCCCAGGCCCCGGGGAGAACGCCCGGGGGGCUGACAUUCCUCUGGUGGCCAGGAGGGGGCAGCCCUGCGCCAAAACAGCCGCGACCAGCAUUUCCAGAAGGACUCAGGUGGUCCCAGCCUGCCUGACACAGGAUGAGGACCUUGGGGAUUUUUCUGGGGUGGGGUAGGUCAUGCCUCCCCAGCCUCUGAAAGUGGGGGAUAAAUUUGGGAGCUUGGGGAUUGAAGAGGGAAACUGACGCUUGCCUUCAUCAGAGCCUCCGAGGGGAAAAAGUCGAGGCCACAAGUUCUGUGAGCUUUCCCCUGUUUCCAGAUGGGGAGUGAGGGGGAGAAGCCACCCCAGCUCUGAGCAAAAGAGCCAAAGGACCCCACCUCCAGCCAGGAGCACUGUGGCAGCCUGGAGGUCUCGCAAGGCCACGCACUGGCCUCGGGCGAACCUACCGCUAACUUCCAACUCUAGCACUUUCUACCGGGGUAGCCUCUUCACAGAUCUUCAGAUUCGUCAUCCGUCAGAGGGUGAUAAAUAUCCCUGCCUAGGAGGGUUAUUGCAAAGAUAAAUAAAAUGUGGUCAUAUAUUUCUGUGCCGUGCCUGCCAGAUCCCAAAUGCUCUCUCCUCGUUUGCUGCAGGAAUCACCACUCCAGUGUUACUCUUGGUAUCGCCCAUUCUGCAAGCCCACUGCUGUGUUUAGGGUGACUGUUAGGUUUGGCUGUCUGCUGGGCCACCUCGGGACCCUGGGCCAUCCCUCCCUCUCCCUGGUCUCAGACAGCAGCUGCGCCCGGAGUUUGGAAGAAGGUGGGUGCAUGAGGAGAACUGGCUUGAAGCCGUCUACACAGAUGCGCUGUCUGCGUGGGACCUGGAACCAGAGGGAGAGAAAGAGAGAAAGAGAGAGCAUUUGCUGCAGAGCUAGCCUGGGGACAGCUUGGUGUUAGUGGGACCCACGACCCCUGCUGUGCCCCCUCCUACUGCCUGGGUCCCCUACUGUCUGUCAUUUCCACCUCCCUGUGGGUAUGGCUCCUUUCAGCUAAUCCCGUGGGUUAAAAUAAGGUCAAGGUUACAGGGGCAGGGGAGCCUGAAUUUCUCAUAUGGACCCAAGUGAGGUUUGGGAGGGAACAGAAUGCUGGCUGGGAGGUUGGGUUCGAGUGUAGGCACUUCUGGAGAGAAUCCGCAACAAGGUAGAAAGAAACACCCCUUCCCCCGGCCUGAUCUAUCCCCGCUCAUCCGAGAGACCCACCCAGCUGCAGACAUUAAGGCCAGAACCUGCCCCUGAUUUUAGAUUUUCUAAUAGCCGCAUAAAAUAAAGAAAAAGGAAGUAAAAAUAGAUUUUAAUGA